rnacentral:rRNA from 1 species
UACGAAGGGAGCUAGCGUUGUUCGGAAUUACUGGGCGUAAAGGGCGUGUAGGCGGUCCAACAAGUCAGGUGUGAAAGCCCUGGGCUCAACCCGGGAAUUGCGCUUGAUACUGUUGGUCUUGAAUUCGGGAGAGGUGAGUGGAAUUCCCAGUGUAGAGGUGAAAUUCGUAGAGAUUGGGAAGAACACCCGUGGCGAAGGCGGCUCACUGGACCGACAUUGACGCUGAGACGCGAAAGCGUGGGGAG